UUCGGAUCCCUUUUUCCAUGCCCUAUCCCUUCUACUGAGCGGGAGAGCAUGGCCACCAAAGAGAUCCUCAUGCUAGAGGCGGCGCCGGAUGCCGUCCGCGAAGCGUGGUCUGCCGGUCCCGAUGCGGAUGUCGUCGAUGCUUUGCCCUACAUCGACGAUGACUACGGCGAUCCCAGGGUAGCCGCAGAGGUCGACCGGCUCGUCGAGGAGGAAAUGCGGAGGGGCACCAAGAAGCCAGCUGACUUUCUGCGGGAACUCCCACCCCUCCCAAAAGUUAACUUUGAGGAUCACCCUAUGCUUGCUAGAGAAUAUGAACGUGUCAGAGCUGGCAAGCCUCCGGCAAUUCUGGAGAUGUCCCGCUAUGGAUUGGAACCUCCACCUGCAAACAAACGCAAUGAUGUUACUGCUUGGAGGCUGGCUUUACGGAAUGCACAAAGCCUUGUACAGCAUGAAGUUAUUAGGAUUGAAAAUCUGGAGUUGCUGGUGAAUCAUGGUGCUGAUGUCUGGAAGCUUCAGAACAAACGAACGGAAUCGUAUUUAUCCAGAUUAGAAGCUACAGCAAUGGAAUACGACAAAAUGAUAGAAGCAGUUAAUCGUGACAGAAAGUUUCAGCAGCAAAAUACUGGCGGUCAACUCAAUAUGCUGAAUGCACAGUGGAAGGAAUUAUGUCUUAAGAACAUAGAGAUCCAAUCUGCAUGUUCUGAUCUGCAGAAUGCUAUUGAUCAAAUGAAGGAAGAGGCUAAACAACUUGGCUUAGAUUUGGAUGCAAAAAUGGAAAGUUAGAUUGUAAUGCUGAUAGACUCAGGAGAGUGAAGGGUACGUUGUAUUUUUUUUGCCUUGUAACCAUGAGAAAUCCCAAGUUUCAGUAUGGGGUCAUUUAAUGCCAGGAUCUCAUAUUGCAGAGAUGGACUUCCAUCGAGGUGUACCAAUCUACUUAUUGUUUGGAUGACCAGAUUGUCGGGCAUUACUUCCCCAACUAGUUUUUUUUUUUUUUGGUAUAAGACAUUGAGCAUCUGGAGUCUGGACGGGACUUGAAAUAGCAGAAUGAACACGGCAUGCAUCGAUAGACAGGCUGAUGUAUCUAACUAGUUUUCUUUGAACCACUUAAUUUCAGCGAUCCUUGGGUAAAGGCAAAGGAUUUUGUAGGUUAAAGGCCUUGUGUAUUUGCUUUAAAAAAAAGUUGUGACCCUA